rnacentral:rRNA from 1 species
GAUGAACGCUGGCGGCGUGCCUAAUACAUGCAAGUCGAACGAACAGACCCGGCGCUUGCUCCUCUCACGUUAGCGGCGGACGGGUGAGUAACACGUGGAUCACCUCCCUAUAAUACUGGGAAAACUACGAGAAACCGGAGCUAAUACCGGAUAAUAUAUUGAACCGCAUGGUUCAAUAGUGAAAGACGGCUUUGCGGUCACUUAUAGCUGGAUCCGCGCCGCUUUAGCUAGUUGGUAAGGUCACGGCUUACCAAGGGAACGAUGCGUAGCCGACCUGAGAGGGGGAUCGGCCGCACUGGAAGUGAGACGCGGUCCAGACGCCUACGGGAGGCAGCAGUAGGGAAUCUGCGGCAGUGGGCGAAAGCCUGACAGAGCAGCGGCACGUGAGUGAUGAAGGUGCUCGGAGCGGAAUGCUCUGUUACUAGUGAAGAACAAAUGUGGAAGGAACUAUGGACGUCUUGACGGUAACUAAUAAGAAAGCCACGGCUAACUACGUG